rnacentral:rRNA from 1 species
UUAAUACCCAUGGACGAUGACAUUAGCUGCAGAAUAAGCACCGGCUAACUCUGUGCCAGCAGCCGCGGUAAUACAGAGGGUGCAAGCGUUAAUCGGAAUUACUGGGCGUAAAGCGAGCGUAGGUGGCUUGAUAAGUCAGAUGUGAAAGCCCCGGGCUUAACCUGGGAACGGCAUCUGAUACUGUUAGGCUAGAGUAGGUGAGAGGAAGGUAGAAUUCCAGGUGUAGCGGUGAAAUGCGUAGAGAUCUGGAGGAAUACCGAUGGCGAAGGCAGCCUUCUGGCAUCAUACUGACACUGAGGUUCGAAAGCGUGGGUAGCAAACAGGAUUAGAUACCCUGGUAGUCCACGCCGUAAACGAUGUCUACUAGUCGUUGGGUCCCUUGAGGACUUAGUGACGCAGCUAACGCAAUAAGUAGACCGCCUGGGGAGUACGGCCGCAAGGUUAAAACUCAAAUGAAUUGACGGGGGCCCGCACAAGCGGUGGAGCAUGUGGUUUAAUUCGAUGCAACGCGAAGAACCUUACCUGGUCUUGACAUAUCUAGAAUCCUGCAGAGAUGCGGGAGUGCCUUCGGGAAUUAGAAUACAGGUGCUGCAUGGCUGUCGUCAGCUCGUGUCGUGAGAUGUUGGGUUAAGUCCCGCAACGAGCGCAACCCUUGUCCUUAGUUACCAGCGGUUUGGCCGGGAACUCUAAGGAUACUGCCAGUGACAAACUGGAGGAAGGCGGGGACGACGUCAAGUCAUCAU